AUGCCUCUUGACUCUGAGUUUCACUGGGAGGCAUAUAAUGAUAGUGUGUUGGCCUCACAAGAUAAAUCAUUUGAGUUAUUUGCCACAAAGGUUGUUCGUGCUUGGUUGCACAUUGAUUUGAAUCUGUGUGCAUCUUCAUGUGAUGUUAGAAGCCCGAUUCAAGAUUCACCACAUGUUAAUCCGGAUGUGUAUGACACAACAAUGAGCCAACCUCCAAUGACCCAACCUUUGAGCCCCGUCGGGAAUGACCAAGUUGAUAAUGAAGACUUGCACAUGGAUAGUGAUGAGUUUAAGGGUGAUGAAUCAGAGGCUUAUCUUCGUGACCAUUAUGUUGGCGAUGUGGAGGAAAAUUGCAUGGAAGAGGACAUGGACCAUGACAUUCCAUACAAUAGGUCCUAUGCGGGGGACUCGGAGGACAAAGGCCCGGAUGAAGAAUAG
rnacentral:rRNA from 1 species